CUCCUCUCCUCUCUUACACGGACUGCGCUCGGCCACGCCCAUACGAUCGCCACCCACCGUCGCCCUCCUACGUCAACCUCCACCGUGAAGCAGCUCCGCUGCAGAUCGCCGAAAUAUUGGACUCGUCAUGGUGAAAGUACAUAUAGGGAUCAACGUUGAUUUAGAAAGGGAUUGAGAUGAAGGAGAAGAUAGAGAAAUAAUGCAUGACUAGUAUCCAACGUUAUCUCACCCAAUAACACAUGAAGGGACAUCAGAUCAGCCCUUUGCUUCCAGAGGACCAUCAAAGGAUGCACCGACGAUAGGUGAGAAUGACGAGAAUGAUAAUUCUGAGAGAGGUUGUCCAGGAGUGUCCACGUAUGAUAAACAACAGAUAAUCAGCCGGACGGUGGAAGAGGAAAGAUCAACAGCUUGUGCAGGUCCUGCAGGAUCGAGGAGAUUGACUUCAUUUUAUCAGAAACAUCAGCUUCCUAUGCAUUUCAUCCGGUAGGAGUAGGGUCUUUUCUCGGUAUGAUUCACGAAAAUUGCAGAACUCUCUUUAUCUGGUCUAGCUGUUUUAUCUGAUUUUUCAGUUCUGCAGGGCUAGUUUGUAUCUGAAGCUCUUGACCCUGCUAAUUUGUAUCUGUUAGUUUUAUUGAAGGGCUAUUGCGUAUGAAGCCGCACUUAUU